rnacentral:lncRNA from 1 species
UUCACUAUAUUUUUACACCCAAACAAAAACUCUCUCUUUCUUCAUUUCACUAUAUUUUCAUUAUGGAUCCAAAUUAUCCCAAUUAUUAUUAUCCAAAUUCUCAAAAUCAUCAAAACUCCCAAGAUUAUCCUAAUCCUCAAGAUUCUGCAAAUUUUUCAUCUUAUCCGACUCCUCCUUUUUUUCCAAAUUUCGAAAAUCAACCAAAUUCUCAUUUAUGAAUCUCAAUUUCUCCAAAUCUAAGUCAGAUCCCUACAUCUCAAAGAAUUUCCACACCAGAAAAUGUCUCCCGUAAUUUGUUUAUGGGUGUUCAACAACGCCCAAACAAAAAUCAUAAAGGGGCAAAAAAUGUAGCUUGGUGUGUGAAGGAAGAUGUUGCCCUUAUGUCAUCUUGGAUCUAUGCUAGCGAAGAUAAC